ACGAACGCUGGCGGCGUGCUUAACACAUGCAAGUCGAGCGAGGUCCAUCUGGUGGCAACACCGGGGAAGAUCGAGCGGCGAACGGGUGCGUAACACGUGAGCAACCUGCCCCGAAGACCGGGACAACACCGGGAAACCGGUGCUAAUACCGGAUGCCCUCAGCGGGCCGCAUGACCUGCUGAGGAAAUGGAUUCCGCUUCGGGAGGGGCUCGCGGCCUAUCAGCUUGUUGGUGGGGUAAUGGCCCACCAAGGCUCCGACGGGUAGCUGGUCUGAGAGGACGAUCAGCCACACUGGGACUGAGACACGGCCCAGACUCCUACGGGAGGCAGCAGUGGGGAAUCUUGCGCAAUGGGCGAAAGCCUGACGCAGCAACGCCGCGUGCGGGAUGAAGGCCUUCGGGUUGUAAACCGCUUUCAGUAGGGACGAAAUUGACGGUACCUACAGAAGAAGCCCCGGCCAACUACGU
rnacentral:rRNA from 1 species